rnacentral:rRNA from 1 species
UACGGAGGGUGCAAGCGUUGUCCGGAUUUACUGGGCGUAAAGAGCGUGUAGGCGGCCAAACAGGUCCGUUGUGAAAACUGGAGGCUCAACCUCCAGACGUCGACGGAAACCGUGUGGCUAGAGUCCGGAAGAGGAGAGUGGAAUUCCUGGUGUAGCGGUGAAAUGCGCAGAUAUCAGGAAGAACACCAAUGGCGAAGGCAGCUCUCUGGGACGGUACUGACGCUGAGACGCGAAAGCGUGGGGAGCGAACAGG